UAGGGAAUCUUCCGCAAUGGACGCAAGUCUGACGGAGCAACGCCGCGUGAGUGAAGAAGGAUUUCGGUUCGUAAAACUCUGUUGUUAGAGAAGAACAGCGCAUAGAGUAACUGUUAUGCGUGUGACGGUAUCUAACCAGAAAGCCACGGCUAACUACGUGCCAGCAGCCGCGGUAAUACGUAGGUGGCAAGCGUUGUCCGGAUUUAUUGGGCGUAAAGCGAGCGCAGGCGGUCAAUUAAGUCUGAUGUGAAAGCCCCCGGCUAAAACGGGGAGGGUCAUUGGAAACUGGUUGACUUGAGUGCAGAAGAGGAGAGUGGAAUUCCAUGUGUAGCGGUGAAAUGCGUAGAUAUAUGGAGGAACACCAGGGGCGAAGGCGACUCUCUGGUCUGUAACUGACGCUGAGGCUCGAAAGCGUGGGUAGCAAACAGG
rnacentral:rRNA from 1 species